rnacentral:rRNA from 1 species
AUUGAACGCUGGCGGCAGGCCUAACACAUGCAAGUCGAGCGAGCGGCGGACGGGUGAGUAAUGUAUGGGGACUGCCCGAUAGAGGGGGGUAACUACUGGCAACGGUGGCUAAUACCGCAUACUAUCGGAUAACCCAUAUGGGAUUAGCUAGUAGGUGGGGUAAAGGCUCACCUAGGCGACGAUCUCUAGCUGGUCUGAGAGGAUGAUAAGCGAAGCUGAGACUGAGACACGGCCGAGACUCCUACGGAGGCAGCAGGGGGGAAUAUUGCACAAUGGGCGCAAGCCUGAUGCAGCCAUGCCGCGUGUAUGAAGAAGGCGUGAGGGUUGUAAAGUACUUUCAGCGGGGAGGCGUUACCAGCAGAAGAAGCACCGGCUAACUCCGUGUCAGCAGCCGCGGUAAUUC